rnacentral:rRNA from 1 species
CCCAGACUCCUACGGGAGGCAGCAGUGGGGAAUAUUGCACAAUGGGGGAAACCCUGAUGCAGCGACGCCGCGUGAGUGAUGAAGUAUUUCGGUAUGUAAAGCUCUAUCAGCAGGGAAGAUAAUGACGGUACCUGACUAAGAAGCUCCGGCUAAAUACGUGCCAGCAGCCGCGGUAAUACGUAUGGAGCAAGCGUUAUCCGGAUUUACUGGGUGUAAAGGGAGCGCAGACGGCAGGGCAAGUCUGAUGUGAAAGUCCGGGGCUCAACCCCGGGACUGCAUUGGAAACUGUCCGGCUAGAGUGCAGGAGAGGUAAGUGGAAUUCCUAGUGUAGCGGUGAAAUGCGUAGAUAUUAGGAGGAACACCGGUGGCGAAGGCGGCCUGCUGGACUGUGACUGACGUUGAGGCCCGAAGGCGUGGGGAGCAAACAGGAUUAGAUACCCGUGUA